GUACUCUCAUCGAAAACUCUUGUUCUAUGAUGUUUUUGUUUAAGCUGUUCCUCUUUAAAAGGUGACUUGAGACAGAAGAAACCUGUAGUAAGUUGGAUUUGUGUCUCUCCAUGGAUGUUUUGUGCCUUUGGGUUGGUGUAUAAGCUUGAACACUUUCAAUGUCUCUUUUUAUUGCUAAGCCUUUUUUUUAGGAUGAUCAACAUGGUUUGUUUUCUGUCUUUAUUUUUAUUUAUCCUACCACACUAAUACUCACAGAUCUUGUUGUGCAUUGCACACUUUCUUACAUUUUGAUAAUACACUACAAGAAAACAGCGGUAUUCCGACGGAAAAUGAAAUCCUCGGAAUAUACCGAGGAAUUUCCG
rnacentral:lncRNA from 1 species